UCGUGCGUAGUAUAGUGGUUAGCAUAUUCCGCUUUCAACCGAGGUCGAGCCGGAAAGACCCGGGUUCGAUCCCCGGCACGCGAA
rnacentral:tRNA from 1 species